GGGGAAUUUUGGACAAAGGGGGCAACCCUGAUCCAGCCAUGCCGCGUGAGUGAAGAAGGCCUUCGCGUUGUAAAGCUCUUUCGGACGGAAAGAAAACGGAUGGGUUAAUACCCUGUUCGGAUGACGGUACCGUCAUAAGAAGCACCGGCUAACUACGUGCCAGCAGCCGCGGUAAUACGUAGGGUGCGAGCGUUAAUCGGAAUUACUGGGCGUAAAGCGUGCGCAGGCGGUUGAUUAAGACAGGCGUGAAAUCCCCGGGCUUAACCUGGGAACUGAGCUUGGGACUGGUCGGCUAGAGUACGGCAGAGGGGGGUGGAAUUCCACGUGUAGCAGUGAAAUGCAUAGAUAUAACGAGGAACUCCGAUUGCGUAGGCAGCUUACUAAGCCAUAACUGACGCUCAUGCACGAAAGCGUGGGGAUCAAACA
rnacentral:rRNA from 1 species